UUAAGCGACUAAGCGUACACGGUGGAUGCCUUGGCAGUCAGAGGCGAUGAAGGACGUGCUAAUCUGCGAUAAGCGUCGGUAAGGUGAUAUGAACCGUUAUAACCGGCGAUUUCCGAAUGGGGAAACCCAGUGUGAUUUCGACACACUAUCAUUAACUGAAUCCAUAGGUUAAUGAGGCGAACCGGGGGAACUGAAACAUCUAAGUACCCCGAGGAAAAGAAAUCAACCGAGAUUCCCCCAGUAGCGGCGAGCGAACGGGGAGGAGCCCAGAGCCUGAAUCAGUGUGUGUGUUAGUGGAAGCGUCUGGAAAGGCGCGCGAUACAGGGUGACAGCCCCGUACACAAAAAUGCACAUACUGUGAGCUCGAUGAGUAGGGCGGGACACGUGGUAUCCUGUCUGAAUAUGGGGGGACCAUCCUCCAAGGCUAAAUACUCCUGACUGACCGAUAGUGAACCAGUACCGUGAGGGAAAGGCGAAAAGAACCCCGGCGAGGGGAGUGAAAAAGAACCUGAAACCGUGUACGUACAAGCAGUGGGAGCACAGAGCAAUCUGGUGACUGCGUACCUUUUGUAUAAUGGGUCAGCGACUUAUAUUCUGUAGCAAGGUUAACCGAAUAGGGGAGCCGAAGGGAAACCGAGUCUUAACCGGGCGUUAAGUUGCAGGGUAUAGACCCGAAACCCGGUGAUCUAGCCAUGGGCAGGUUGAAGGUUGGGUAACACUAACUGGAGGACCGAACCGACUAAUGUUGAAAAAUUAGCGGAUGACUUGUGGCUGGGGGUGAAAGGCCAAUCAAACCGGGAGAUAGCUGGUUCUCCCCGAAAGCUAUUUAGGUAGCGCCUCGUGAAUUCAUCUCCGGGGGUAGAGCACUGUUUCGGCAAGGGGGUCAUCCCGACUUACCAACCCGAUGCAAACUGCGAAUACCGGAGAAUGUUAUCACGGGAGACACACGGCGGGUGCUAACGUCCGUCGUGAAGAGGGAAACAACCCAGACCGCCAGCUAAGGUCCCAAAGUCAUGGUUAAGUGGGAAACGAUGUGGGAAGGCCCAGACAGCCAGGAUGUUGGCUUAGAAGCAGCCAUCAUUUAAAGAAAGCGUAAUAGCUCACUGGUCGAGUCGGCCUGCGCGGAAGAUGUAACGGGGCUAAACCAUGCACCGAAGCUGCGGCAGCGACACUGUGUGUUGUUGGGUAGGGGAGCGUUCUGUAAGCCUGUGAAGGUGUGCUGUGAGGCAUGCUGGAGGUAUCAGAAGUGCGAAUGCUGACAUAAGUAACGAUAAAGCGGGUGAAAAGCCCGCUCGCCGGAAGACCAAGGGUUCCUGUCCAACGUUAAUCGGGGCAGGGUGAGUCGACCCCUAAGGCGAGGCCGAAAGGCGUAGUCGAUGGGAAACAGGUUAAUAUUCCUGUACUUGGUGUUACUGCGAAGGGGGGACGGAGAAGGCUAUGUUGGCCGGGCGACGGUUGUCCCGGUUUAAGCGUGUAGGCUGGUUUUCCAGGCAAAUCCGGAAAAUCAAGGCUGAGGCGUGAUGACGAGGCACUACGGUGCUGAAGCAACAAAUGCCCUGCUUCCAGGAAAAGCCUCUAAGCAUCAGGUAACAUCAAAUCGUACCCCAAACCGACACAGGUGGUCAGGUAGAGAAUACCAAGGCGCUUGAGAGAACUCGGGUGAAGGAACUAGGCAAAAUGGUGCCGUAACUUCGGGAGAAGGCACGCUGAUAUGUAGGUGAAGUCCCUCGCGGAUGGAGCUGAAAUCAGUCGAAGAUACCAGCUGGCUGCAACUGUUUAUUAAAAACACAGCACUGUGCAAACACGAAAGUGGACGUAUACGGUGUGACGCCUGCCCGGUGCCGGAAGGUUAAUUGAUGGGGUCAGCGCAAGCGAAGCUCUUGAUCGAAGCCCCGGUAAACGGCGGCCGUAACUAUAACGGUCCUAAGGUAGCGAAAUUCCUUGUCGGGUAAGUUCCGACCUGCACGAAUGGCGUAAUGAUGGCCAGGCUGUCUCCACCCGAGACUCAGUGAAAUUGAACUCGCUGUGAAGAUGCAGUGUACCCGCGGCAAGACGGAAAGACCCCGUGAACCUUUACUAUAGCUUGACACUGAACAUUGAGCCUUGAUGUGUAGGAUAGGUGGGAGGCUUUGAAGUGUGGACGCCAGUCUGCAUGGAGCCGACCUUGAAAUACCACCCUUUAAUGUUUGAUGUUCUAACGUGGACCCGUGAUCCGGGUUGCGGACAGUGUCUGGUGGGUAGUUUGACUGGGGCGGUCUCCUCCUAAAGAGUAACGGAGGAGCACGAAGGUUGGCUAAUCCUGGUCGGACAUCAGGAGGUUAGUGCAAUGGCAUAAGCCAGCUUGACUGCGAGCGUGACGGCGCGAGCAGGUGCGAAAGCAGGUCAUAGUGAUCCGGUGGUUCUGAAUGGAAGGGCCAUCGCUCAACGGAUAAAAGGUACUCCGGGGAUAACAGGCUGAUACCGCCCAAGAGUUCAUAUCGACGGCGGUGUUUGGCACCUCGAUGUCGGCUCAUCACAUCCUGGGGCUGAAGUAGGUCCCAAGGGUAUGGCUGUUCGCCAUUUAAAGUGGUACGCGAGCUGGGUUUAGAACGUCGUGAGACAGUUCGGUCCCUAUCUGCCGUGGGCGCUGGAGAACUGAGGGGGGCUGCUCCUAGUACGAGAGGACCGGAGUGGACGCAUCACUGGUGUUCGGGUUGUCAUGCCAAUGGCACUGCCCGGUAGCUAAAUGCGGAAGAGAUAAGUGCUGAAAGCAUCUAAGCACGAAACUUGCCCCGAGAUGAGUUCUCCCUGACCCUUUAAGGGUCCUGAAGGAACGUUGAAGACGACGACGUUGAUAGGCCGGGUGUGUAAGCGCAGCGAUGCGUUGAGCUAACCGGUACUAAUGAACCGUGAGGCUUAACCUU
rnacentral:rRNA from 1 species